ACGUAUCACUGGGGGUGUCCGUCGACGUCGUCGUCGGGCUGAGAUCAUACCCUUAAAACCGGAUCGAGAUAAUGCUCGCGUCGGGAAGUGGCCUGUAACUUUA
rnacentral:ncRNA from 2 species